rnacentral:rRNA from 1 species
CCCUUAGAUGCUCUGGGCCGCACGCGCGCUACACUGGUCGAUGCAACGAGUUUCUUUCCUUGGCCGACAGGCCUGGGCAAUCUUUGAACAUCGAUCGUGAUCGGGAUAGAUUCUUGUAAUUUUUGAUCUUAAACGAGGAAUUCCUAGUAAACGCAAGUCGUCAGCUUGCAUUGAUUACGUCCCUGCCCUUUGUACACACCGCCCGUCGCACCUACCGAUUGAAUGGUCCGGUGAAAUCUCCGGACUGGCGUGAGUCGGAGCAAUCUGACAAACGCCGGAAAGUUGAUUAAACCUUACCAUUUAGAGGAAGGUGAAGUCGUAACA